GAUGAACGCUAGCUACAGGCUUAACACAUGCAAGUCGAGGGGCAGCGGUAUCGAAAGCUUGCUUUCGGUAGCCGGCGACCGGCGCACGGGUGAGUAACGCGUAUCGAACCUGCCUCAUACUCGGGAAUAGCCUUGCGAAAGUAAGAUUAAUGCCCGGUGUUUUCAGAGUCCCGCAUGAGGCUUUGAACAAAGAUUUAUCGGUAUGAGAUGGCGAUGCGUCCCAUUAGCUUGUUGGCGGGGUAACGGCCCACCAAGGCAUCGAUGGGUAGGGGUUCUGAGAGGAAGGUCCCCCACAUUGGAACUGAGACACGGUCCAAACUCCUACGGGAGGCAGCAGUGAGGAAUAUUGGUCAAUGAGCGGAAGCCUGAACCAGCCAAGUAGCGUGCAGGAAGACGGCCCUCCGGGUUGUAAACUGCUUUUAGUUGGGAAUAAAACGGGGCUCGUGAGCCCCCUUGCAUGUACCAUCAGAAAAAGGACCGGCUAAUUCCGUG
rnacentral:rRNA from 1 species